UACGGGGGGAGCAAGCGUUGUUCGGAUUUACUGGGCGUAAAGGGCGCGUAGGCGGCCAGCACAAGUCAGUUGUGAAAUCUCCGAGCUUAACUCGGAAAGGUCAACUGAUACUGUGCGGCUAGAUUGCGGAAGGGGCAACUGGAAUUCUUGGUGUAGCGGUGAAAUGCGUAGAUAUCAAGAGGAACACCUGCGGCGAAGGCGGGUUGCUGGGCCGACACUGACGCUGAGGCGCGAAAGCCAGGGGAGCGAACGGG
rnacentral:rRNA from 1 species